rnacentral:rRNA from 1 species
GCGAAUUAGGGUUCGAUUCCGGAGUAGGGAGCCUGAGAAACGGCUACCACAUCUAAGGAAGGCAGCAGGCGCAGCAAAAUUACCCAAUCCUGAUUCAGGGAGGUAGUGACAAUAAAUAACAAUCCAGGACUUCGGUCUUGGAAUUGGAAUGAGAACAAUUUAAAUCUCUUAUCGAGGAACAAUUGGAGGGCAAGUCUGGUGCCAGCAGCCGGGUAAUUCCAGCUCCAAUAGCGUAUAUUAAAGUUGUUGCAGUUAAAUAGCUCGUAGUCGAAUCUUGGGGCUGGUUUGGCGGUCGCGUCUUUGACGUGUACUGUCGGCCGGUUCUUUUACUUGUGGGGAACGUAUGUGCCCUUUGCGGGGUGUGUACGGGAACCAUGGCUGUUACUUUGAAAAAAUUAGAGUGU